rnacentral:rRNA from 1 species
UGGGGAAUUUUGGACAAUGGGCGCAAGCCUGAUCCAGCAAUGCCGCGUGCAGGAAGAAGGCCUUCGGGUUGUAAACUGCUUUUGUCAGGGAAGAAAUCCUCUGGGUUAAUACCUCGGGGGGAUGACGGUACCUGAAGAAUAAGCACCGGCUAACUACGUGCCAGCAGCCGCGGUAAUACGUAGGGUGCGAGCGUUAAUCGGAAUUACUGGGCGUAAAGCGUGCGCAGGCGGUUGUGCAAGACAGGUGUGAAAUCCCCGGGCUUAACCUGGGAACUGCACUUGUGACUGCACGGCUAGAGUACGGUAGAGGGGGGAUGGAAUUCCGCGUGUAGCAGUGAAAUGCGUAGAUAUGCGGAGGAACACCGAUGGCGAAGGCAAUCCCCUGGACCUGUACUGACGCUCAUGCACGAAAGCGUGGGGAGCAAACAGGAUUAGAUACCCUGGUAGUCCACGCCCUAAACGAUGUCAACUGGUUGUUGGACGGCUUGCUGUUCAGUAACGAAGCUAACGCGUGAAGUUGACCGCCUGGGAGUACGGCCGCAAGUUGAAACUCAAAUGAAUUGACGGGGUCAUAGCUGUUUCCUG